CGGAGCAUAGCUCAGCAUGGCUAGAGCGCUGCGUUCGGGACGCAGAGGUCGCUGGUUCAAAUCCAGUUGCUCCGA
rnacentral:tRNA from 1 species